rnacentral:lncRNA from 1 species
AUAUGUUAAUGGAGGAUUGGUACAAAUACAUGAGAGAUAAAUAGUAUUAAUAAAGGUUCUAGGUACCAUUCAAUCAAAUCCGAUUGUUUUUUUUUCCUCCUGAUGUGAUGGAACAUUCGUACAAUAUAUAUAUGAAUACAAUCUAAAAAAUUAAAAAAAAAAAUAUUUCGAAAGAAUAUGAUAGACAUAUCUGAUAUCCAUGGAGAUACAAUCUGUUAACAAAAACCUGAUAUCAUGAAUAAAUAUAUUAGAAAUAUUUUUUAUCUACGAAAUCAACUAAUCACUGUAGUUGAGACACCCUCCACUAUCAACCGAUCAAUCUUGAAAUGAAGCCCCGCAUAGAAAAUAUUCUUCCAAA